CUGGCGGCGCGCUUAACACAUGCAAGUCGAGCGAGAAAGUGGAGCAAUCCAUGAGUAAAGCGGCGUACGGGUGAGUAACACGUGGGUAAUCUACCUUUUAGUGGGGAAUAACCCUGGGAAACCGGGGCUAAUACCGCAUAAUCCUGUGAAGGGAAAGCAGCAAUGCGCUGAAAGAGGAGCCCGCGGCCGAUUAGCUAGUUGGUGAGGUAACGGCUCACCAAGGCGGUGAUCGGUAGCCGGCCUGAGAGGGCACACGGCCACACUGGCACUGAAACACGGGCCAGACUCCUACGGGAGGCAGCAGUGGGGAAUCUUGCACAAUGGAGGCAACUCUGAUGCAGCGACGCCGCGUGAGCGAUGAAGCCCUUCGGGGUGUAAAGCUCUUUCGGCAGGGACGAUAAUGACGGUACCUGAAGAAGAAGCUGCGGCUAACUACGUGCCAGCAGCCGCGGUAAUACGUAGGCAGCGAGCGUUGUUCGGAAUUACUGCGCGUAAAGAGUGUGUACGCGGUGCUCUA
rnacentral:rRNA from 1 species